rnacentral:rRNA from 1 species
CACGUAGGGGGCAAGCGUUUGUCCGGAUUUAUUGGGCGUAAAGAGCUCGUAGGUGGUUCGGUAAGUCAGGUGUGAAACCUCCAGGCUCAACCUGGAGACGCCACUUGAUACUGCUGUGACUGGAGUCCGGUAGGGGAGCGUGGAAUUCCUGGUGUAGCGGUGAAAUGCGCAGAUAUCAGGAGGAACACCAGCGGCGAAGGCGGGUCUCUGGACAGUUCCUGACGCUGAGGCACGAAGGCCAGGGGAGCAAACGGG